rnacentral:rRNA from 1 species
CGCGGCCCGAGUGGUGGUCGAUAUUAUUGAGCCUAAAACGUUCGUAGCCGGUCUUGUAAAUCCUUGGGUAAAUCGGCCAGCUUAACUGUCCGAAGUCCGGGGAGACUGCAAGACUUGGGAUCGGGAGAGGUCAGAGGUACUUCUAGGGUAGGGGUAAAAUCCUGUAAUCCUAGAAGGACCACCGGUGGCGAAGGCGUCUGACUAGAACGAAUUCGACGGUGAGGAACGAAGCCCUGGGGCGCAAACGGG